rnacentral:rRNA from 1 species
UACGUAGGGUGCAAGCGUUAAUCGGAAUUACUGGGCGUAAAGCGUGCGCAGGCGGUUGUGCAAGACAGAUGUGAAAUCCCCGGGCUCAACCUGGGAACUGCGUCUGAUACUGGAUGGCUUGAAUUCGGGAGAGGGAUGCAGAAUUCCAGGUGUAGCGGUGAAAUGCGUAGAUAUCAGGAGGAACACCGGUGGCGAAGGCGGUUCUCUGGGCAUUACCUGACGCUGAGGAGCGAAAGUGUGGGGAGCGAACAGG